AACGCGAAGAACCUUACCUGGGCUCGAAAUGUAGUGGAAUCGGGUGGAAACAUCCGCGUCUCGCAAGAGACUGCUAUAUAGGUGCUGCAUGGCUGUCGUCAGCUCGUGCCGUGAGGUGUUGGGUUAAGUCCCGCAACGAGCGCAACCCUUAUCAUUAGUUGCCAACACGAGAGGUGGGGACUCUAAUGAGACUGCCUGGGUUAACCAGGAGGAAGGUGAGGAUGACGUCAAGUCCGCAUGGCCUUUAUGUCUGGGGCCACACACGUGCUACAAUGGUCGGUACAGAAGGCAGCGAAACCGUGAGGUGGAGCAAAUCCCUAAAACCGAUCUCAGUUCGGAUUGUAGUCUGCAACUCGACUACAUGAAGUUGGAAUUGCUAGUAAUGGCGUGUCAGCUACAACGCCGUGAAUACGUUCCCGGGCCUUGUACACACCGGAGUA
rnacentral:rRNA from 1 species